GCUCGCACGCGAGCCCGGAGCUUGGAAGGAGCUCUGUGGGUUGGUUCGAGCAUCAGGGGACGAGUGAGCUACAGAGGUAGGCGGAUCUUCUAAACCGUGAGGAGACUCUGGACUUUAUCCAGAAGAAUCUGGAAGGGAUACGUUUUGGAAAGAAUUUCAAGACUUCCUACUUAAAUUGUGGUCUGAAGACCGGUACCAUCUGCAUUACCUGGAAACUUAUUAGAACUGGGGAAUCUCAACUCACACACGCAGACCUGCAGAACCUACAGAACCUGCAGUUAGGAAGGUCCACAGGUGAUUUGCAAGACUUUUGGGUCCUAAUCCUUGACGUCCACCACGGAUCUCCCGUUACCCCAAUGGUUAUUCUGAAUAAAUAAGGAUGUGACUAGAUUGGGAAUGAGGAGCAGGAACAAGAAGAAACUCCUGUGAAGGAUAAACUACCUGAUAAAUGUUCUGGCCCCAGAAGACUUGCCAAAACCUCUUCUUGUUUCUGUGCAUCUCAGCAGUGGUCCUCUGCCUGAGACCUGCAUCUGAAUCCUCAGUCCCUUGUUUUCAGCCCAGAAUCAGCAAAUAUCCCGAGGGAAAAAGAGCUGCUGAAUGCACCCCUGAGGUUUCCCGUUUGAGGUAUUUAGGACCUCCAGUCCUGGAUGCCUUGGUACAUUUCUGAUGUGUUCAAAUAGAUGUUUUUCACUUGACAUUUUUACUUGUUCUCAGAGAGAGCGCUGGUCUACUACAACGUAACCUAUUAAUCCAGAGGAUCUGGAAAUCCAGAAUUGCGUGCCUCUAGAUCUUAUACUUUGAUGGAUGUCGGGAAGAGAAAGGCAGACAAUAAACAACAAACAAAAAUUAAAGAAGAUAAUUUCAGAGGACGAUAAAGGCUCUGAUGGAAAUAAACAAGAUGGAGUGAACAUUACAUCUUACAUCUGAGGGAAGUACAUCCUACAAGGUGCCCUGACAUGUCGUUAUGGGCUGAAUGUUUGUGUCUCCCCAAAAUUCAUAUGUUGAAACCUAAUUCCCAAUGUGAUGGUGUUUG